rnacentral:lncRNA from 1 species
GUUUCUCAGUGACAGUAACCAGUCAAUCAGGAUUCACCGAUUCAGUCAGUCAGUCACUGUUUUAGUAGACUUUAAGUUUUCAGAAUUCAGACUCUGCUGUUCGACAGUUCAUGUCUACUGUGUAUGUGAAAAGUUGGAAAUCGCAAGGAGUUUUACGUGCAAGUGUUGUGCCACAACUCAUUAAUACCAUAGUAGUCCCAUUCUGCCCCAUAAUAUUCGUUCUCUGAGUAUAUGCAAGGCUAUAGAAGUUGAACAACACUCGUUCCAUUUGGAAGAAAUUCUGACUGGAAUAAUAUUAUUCCUAUCAUUCCUAUACUAUCUACAGAAGCUAGUUAAACUCAAACAAGAAAGCGAGCAAGACUCCAGUUGCCUUCUGAACAAAUAACUCUGGGAUCUGGAUGGAAUACUAUUGUCUCCUAAGUAAAGCCCUUAUAUUCAUCAGUUUAACUAAACUAUAGGUGUCAUUAUGGAUGAUGAUGAGUUUCAGUGGCCUGAUGAAGCUCCAGAGGUAAUGAUUGCUGCUGAUGAAGUUGAGACUGGGGCCUCUAAUGAUGAGAAUUUCGUCACUGACUCUAAUGGCGAAAAGGCUGAUUCCAACCAUCAACAGCCACCACUAGCAGCAACGGCCAAGAACACGGCAAUUAAACAAAAAUCAUGGGUAUGGGACUUUUUUACGAUCGAAAUCGAUCAAAAAGAUAAGAAGGAGAAAGCUAGGUGCUUACUCUGCAAAACGAAACCAAAAUUUUUAGUGAUGUCAGCCACCACAAGUCUAUCCUACCAUCUCACCCACGCUCACAAAAAAACGUGUCCCGAAGAUCCGUCCACUUCUUCCUCGCCAAAUGUAGCACCAAACACCAUGGCUAAAUUCACGACGACUCUGUCCAAAGAAAAGAUUGCCUUAAUAACAAGAGCAAUUACUAAUUUCAUGGCUUGGGACUUGUAUCCCAUGAAUUGAGCCAUGGGUCGAGGAUUCAGAUCCCUGAUGAAGCUUCUUGAGCCUCGUUACACCAUUCCCCAUCGUACAACGUUUAUAAGGACGCACAUUCCCGUCGCAUAUCAAGAAAUGCGAGCCCAAGUCGCGGCUAAGUUGAAAAAUGCCAUCAGGGUCUGUCUUACAACGGAUAUGUGGACGGAUGAUUACAGACAUUGCUCCUAUAUGGCAGUAACGGCCCAUUUUGUUAGCGAUGAGUGGAUUUUUGAAUCUUUUUGUCUGUCCACUAAACCGAAAAGCAAACGGCUGCCAACCUUGCUGAAGCUUUAUCAAGCGUAGCUACAGUGUGGGACCUUAAGUUCAACAAAUUUGUUGUUGUAACUGAUGGGGGAGCCAAUAUUAAAAAAGCCGUCAAUGAUUUGGGUUGGAUACAGAUACCUUGCUUUGCUCAUUUGCUUAAUUUAUGCAUCGCGAAAUACGGGUUUUUAAAUGUUACGGUCCUAAAUCAUGUAAUUAAAAAGUCAAGUUCCAUCGUUCACUUUUUCCAUUUCCAUGGUCCUGCAAUCAUUGCAAAACAAAAAGAGCUCGCAAGAUUCUAUGAUUCAAUGGUAGAAUCAGAAGACCAUGACUAUUCCGAGCCAAUUUCAAGUGAUGAAAUAUCGCAGAAUUCAUUGAAAAAGGAACAGGCUACACGUUGGAAUUCAACUUUGACUAGCAUUGAAUCUGUCUUAGAAAACCGGGUAGUCAUUAGAGAACUUCUGUCAUCUGAACAAUUUGAUUCCCCUCACCUGAUACUGACAAACGAUGAAAUGUCUUUGCUAAAGAAACUUGCUGAAUUCUUAAAGCCUUUCCGUUGC